GCAUGGUGGGGGUUGGAAAGAUUUUUCGGUCUGGGAUGGGCUCGCGGCCUAUCAGCUUGUUGGUGAGGUAAUGGCUCACCAAGGCGUCGACGGGUAGCCGGCCUGAGAGGGUGACCGGCCACACUGGGACUGAGACACGGCCCAGACUCCUACGGGAGGCAGCAGUGGGGAAUAUUGCACAAUGGGCGGAAGCCUGAUGCAGCAACGCCGCGUGAGGGAUGACGGCCUUCGGGUUGUAAACCUCUUUUAGCAGGGAAGAAGCGAGAGUGACGGUACCUGCAGAAAAAGCGCCGGCUAACUACGUGCCAGCAGCCGCGGUAAUACGUAGGGCGCAAGCGUUAUCCGGAAUUAUUGGGCGUAAAGAGCUCGUAGGCGGUUUGUCGCGUCUGCUGUGAAAUCCCGAGGCUCAACCUCGGGCCUGCAGUGGGUACGGGCAGACUAGAGUGCGGUAGGGGAGAUUGGAAUUCCUGGUGUAGCGGUGGAAUGCGCAGAUAUCAGGAGGAACACCGAUGGCGAAGGCAGAUCUCUGGGCCGUAACUGACGCUGAGGAGCGAAAGGGUGGGGAGCAAACAGGCUUAGAUACCCUGGUAGUCCACCCCGUAAACGUUGGGAACUAGUUGUGGGGACCAUUCCACGGUUUCCGUGACGCAGCU
rnacentral:rRNA from 1 species